rnacentral:rRNA from 1 species
UACGGGGGGGGCAAGCGUUGUUCGGAAUUACUGGGCGUAAAGGGCUCGUAGGUGGCCAACUAAGUCAGACGUGAAAUCCCUCGGCUUAACCGGGGAACUGCAUCUGAUACUGGAUGGCUUGAGUUUGGGAGAGGGACGCGGAAUUCCAGGUGUAGCGGUGAAAUGCGUAGAUAUCUGGAGGAACACCGGUGGCGAAGGCGGCAUCCUGGACCGGCAUUGACGCUGAGGCGCGAAAGCUAGGGGAGCAAACGGG